GACGAACGCUGGCGGCGUGCCUAAUACAUGCAAGUCGAACGGUUUAGUUCCAAGAGGCUUGCCUUUUGGAACUAGACAGUGGCGGACGGGUGAGUAACACGUAGGCAACCUACCUGUCAAACCGGGAUAACCUCGGGAAACCGAAGCUAAACCCGGAUAAGCUCCCUUUUCGCAUGAAGGGGGAGUGAAAAGGUGCGACCUGAUGACAGAUGGGCCUGCGGCGCAUUAGCUAGUAGGUAGGGUAACGGCCUACCUAGGCGAUGAUGCGUAGCCGACCUGAGAGGGCGUACGGCCACACUGGGACUGAGAUACGGCCCAGACUCCUACGGGAGGCAGCAGUAGGGAAUCUUCGGCAAUGGGCGAAAGCCUGACCGAGCAACGCCGCGUGAGUGAGGAAGGCCUUCGGGUUGUAAAACUCUGUUGUUUGGGAAGAAGGGAAAGGGUAGGACCCUUUGGUGACGGUACCAAACGAGAAAGCCCCGGCUAACUACGUG
rnacentral:rRNA from 1 species